GUUACAAGGGGACAUCCAAUAAAAUUGGAACAAUACAGAGAAGAUUAGCAUGGCCCAUGCGCAAGGAUGACACACAAAAAUUAAGAAAUGGUAUCAGAACCUU